rnacentral:rRNA from 1 species
UCCCCGUCAAUUCAUUUGAGUUUCACACUUGCGUGCGUACUCCCCAGGCGGGAUACUUAACGCGUUAGCUUCGGCACGGCUUGAGUUGAUACAAGCCACGCCUAGUAUCCAUCGUUUACGGCUAGGACUACGGGGGUAUCUAAUCCCUUUCGCUCCCCUAACUUUCGUCCCUGAGUGUCAGUUGCGGUCCAGUAGAGCGCUUUCGCCACCGAUGUUCUUCCCAAUCUCUACGCAUUUCACCGCUACACUGGGAAUUCCCUCUACCCCUACCGCACUCUAGCUUUUCAGUUUCCACGGCUCCUCCGGGGUUAAGCCCCGCUCUUUCACCGCAGACUUGAAAGGCCACCUGCGGACGCUUUACGCCCAAUAAUUCCGGAUAACGCUUGCCUCCUCCGUAUUACCGCGGCUGCUGGCACGGAGUUGGCCGAGGCUUUUUCCUUGGGUACCGUCAGUUUUCUUCCCCAAGAAAAGAGGUUUACGACCCAAGGGCCUUCUUCCCUCACGCGGUAUAGCUCCGUCAGGCUUGCGCCCAUUGCGGAAGAUUCCCCACUGCUGCCUCCCGUAGGAGUCUGGGCCGUGUCUCAGUCCCAGUGUGGCUGACCAUCCUCUCAGACCAGCUACUGAUCGUUGCCUUGGUAGGCUCUUACCCCACCAACUAGCUAAUCAGCCGCGAGCUCCUCUUCAGGCGUUAACGCUUUCACCCGUAGGCUCAUCGGGGAUUAGCCGCCGCUUCCAGCGGUUAUCUCCGUCCUGAAGGUAGAUUCUCACGUGUUACUCACCCGUCCGCCACUCAGCUCCCGAGGGAGCUGCGUUCGACUUGCAUGUGUUAAGCUUACCGCCAGCGUUCAUCCUGAGCCAGAAUCAAACUCU